rnacentral:tRNA from 1 species
UGUGGUUCAGUGGUAGAGCACUUGCCUAGCACGUGUGAGGCCCUGGGUUCGAUUCUCAGCA